rnacentral:tmRNA from 1 species
GGGGUAGUAAAGGUUUCGACAGGGGUUAAGAAAGCGGAGAAGCUAUCCGUAGGCGAAACGUAAACGCACUUUUAAACUAAAUGCUGAUGAAAAAUUAGCAGUUGCUGCUUAAUCUGACUUUUAGUCUGAGACAACGGUAACGAAGGCCGUUUUUUAUAAACGGCGGUCCGGCCGGAGAUCACCCGCGUUCUCCGGAUCCGGGUCUUAUGAUCAGCGGGAAACGACAGCGGUGAUUCCUUAUAGCCGCCGGGCGUACUUAUAAGGAUACCUGCAGGUAUCGUUGUCGGCAUACGGAACUUGCGGGGAAUCUGCGAAAGCACAUACCGACUAUGAUAGUAGAAGGCUGUCCGGAAUAGCUCUUGGACACGAGUUCGACUCUCGUCUACUCCAU